rnacentral:lncRNA from 1 species
UUAUUAUUGAUAGCAGUAACAGUAGCAACAAAAGUAGUAAUAAUAAUAAUAAUAAUAAUAAUGAUGGGCUCUUACUCUGUGCCAGGCACUGUUCUAAGCACUGGGGUGGAUACAAGGUAAUCGGAUUGUCCCACGCGGGGUUCAUCGACGUAAUCCCCAUUUUACAGAUGAGGAAACUGAGGCACAGAGAAAUGAAGUCACUCGCCCAAAGUCACACCGUCCUGAGCACUUGAGAGAGUCCAGUAGAGUUACUAGACAUGGCCCCCGCUCUCAAGGAGCUUCCGGUCUACUGCGUUCGGACCAUUGUACGGACCACUUGGGAAAGCGCGGUAGAGGUUAGAGCCGCGAUGCGGAGUGGUGAGACGUGAUCUAGCUAUGGCGUGGGGAGGAGAAACAUGCUCUGGCCAUGCCGCGGAGAGGAAGCACGGUCUCUAGCCGUGACGCGGAGCGGAAACCUACCCUCUAGCCGGGAUGAGGAGCGGAAGCACAGGCCCCAGACGGAAUGGGGAGCGGAAACCCAGGCUGUAGCCGUGACGUAGAGCGGAAACCACGUGCCUUCGCAGGACGGGGUGUGAGUGAGGGUCUUGGGGCUCCUGGGCCUCCGGGCUGGGGUAGGCGCCUCCUCCGUCAGCAGUCCCUGGACUUGGAAGCUUCCGUCGUGAGCCGCUCAGAGCCGCUGGAUGUUCACUGAAGUUCCUGAUCCAGACGAAGUUCCAGGAGCCGCUCAACCUCAUCGGUUGGGGCGACGUGGCUUAGCCAACGAUGACCCUCGCGGGUGAGGACGGCCGGGUUCCGCGUCGUCGGUCAGUCGGUCGUAUUUAUUGAGCACUUACCGUGUACAGACCACUGUACUAAAUGGUUGGGAGAAUACAAUAGAACGGUGUAACCAAAACAUUCCCUGCCCACAACAAACUUAUAGCCUAGAGGGGGAGACGGAUGUUAAUAUAAACGAAUAAAUGACAGAUAUGGGCAUAAGUGCUGUAGGGCCGGAGGGGAUGAACGAAGGG